rnacentral:rRNA from 1 species
UACGUAGGGUGCGAGCGUUAAUCGGAAUUACUGGGCGUAAAGUGUGCGCAGGCGGCUUCGCAAGUCGAGUGUGAAAUCCCCGAGCUUAACUUGGGAAUUGCGCUCGAAACUACGGGGCUGGAGUGUGGCAGAGGAAGGUGGAAUUCCACGUGUAGCGGUGAAAUGCGUAGAGAUGUGGAGGAACACCGAUGGCGAAGGCAGCCUUCUGGGCCAACACUGACGCUCAUGCACGAAAGCGUGGGGAGCAAACAGG